rnacentral:sRNA from 1 species
GCCGGGCACUGUGGGACACGCCUGUAAUCCCAGUGGCUUGGGAGGCUAAGGCAGGAGGAUUGUGAGUUCAAAGCCUGCCUCAGCAAAGGAAGGCUCUUGACAACUUAAUGAGAUCCUGCCUCUA